rnacentral:rRNA from 1 species
AGGAUAAACGCUGGCGGCGUGCCUAACACAUGCAAGUCGAGCGGAAAGGCCCUUCGGGGUACUCGAGCGGCGAACGGGUGAGUAACACGUGAGCAACCUGCCCUUAGCUCUGGGAUAGCUCCGGGAAACCGGAAUUAAUACCGGAUAUUACACCGGCUGGCAUCGGCUGGUGUGGAAAGAUUUAUCGGCUAAGGAUGGACUCGCGGCCUAUCAGCUUGUUGGUGGGUAGAGCCUACCAAGGCGACGACGGGUA